rnacentral:lncRNA from 1 species
CUUCACCAAACAUUGAUUGUUUUUUCACCUAACUCACUGAAUUAAGUUGUAACUUGUAAGACAAUCUUGAGAGCCAGUAGCCUUCAGAUUUAAACAAGAAAGGCUUUCAAGGUGAUAUAUUUGAGCGCCUAUCUGAUUGACAUUAUUUUCUCUUGUCAGUAACGUAAGGUACUUGAUGGUUUACUCCAGGCUAUGCUGUCAUAAUACAUGCUGGAACUGAGAUUAGUUGCUUUAUGUGAAUACCUUGAUUGAUGGCCUUAAAUGUUUUAUCAUGCAGAGGAAAAGCUGGAAAAACUUAUUUGCAUACAUGGGUCCUGGGUUUCUUGUGUCUAUUGCAUAUAUUGAUCCUGGAAAUUGUAAGACUGAGACUGAAUGAGCCAGCUUAAAAUUCCCAGUGGUUCAAUAUUUUUGCACUUCUUUGUAAUAUUUUCAUGCUUUCAUAUUUUACAUCAUGGAUCAGAUGAUUGAAAAUCAGACCCUUUUACAACUUAAUAUCAGCUUCAGUUUUUUAAGAACACCGCAUUAACUGACUACAAGCAAUUUGCAAUCACAAUACAAUGGCUGAGCCAANNNNNNNNNNNNNNNNNNNNNNNNNNNNNNNNNNNNNNNNNNNNNNNNNNNNNNNNNNNNNNNNNNNNNNNNNNNNNNNNNNNNNNNNNNNNNNNNNNNNUUUUUUAAUAUAAAAAUAUACUCACCUAUAAUUAAUAAUCUAAUAAAAAAAUAAACAUAUACUAAUAUUUUAAAUAAUAUUGAUUUCAAAUAUAUAUAUAUAUAUAUAUAUAUAUAUAUAUAUAUAUAUAUAUAUAUAUAGAUAAUAUUUUAUUUUGUUUCACAAUCAUACUAUUUUUAUAUUUAUAAUUCUUAUAUUAUGGAUUUCAUUUUUUAUAUUCUUUAUUUUUAAAUAUUUUAUAGAAUAUUAAACCUAGAUUUUUAAAAAAUAAAAAUAAAAAACACAAUCCACAUGUGUUGAAACUAAAUUUUUUGUUUUCUUCAAAAUAAAAAAAGAAAAAUAAUAUUAGAAAAAUAUUAACUUGCCUUUAAUUUCAUUUAACAAAAAAAAAUAGUAAUUGAUCAUUUUUAAGAGGAUUUAAUUUUAAAAACAAUAUUUGAAGGUAGAUAAAAUUAAAAUUUUAAAAGUCUUUGCAUUAAUUUUUUUUUAAAAUAAAUUCACAAUUCCCAUCAUAUUACAUUAAAAAAAAAAACUAAUGUUGUUUAUUAAAUAUGUUUAAAAAAAGUACAUUUUUGUUUAAUUAAAAAUUUAAAUCAUUAAAAUUAUUUUUAUUUUAAUAAAUAAUGUUAAUAAAAAGUACAUUAUGUGCUUUUUUUGGACAUAUUAUUUAACAAUCAUUGUCAAAUUCAUAACAUUAACAAUAAAAAGCACAUAAUAAGUUAAUACAUUUUAUUAUCUAUAAUAAUACUUUUAGUUAUUUAGGUAAAAACAAUAUUACUAUAUUCAAUAACAUAUUUAAUAUAGAGGUUAAAACAGUGAUGAAUAAUAAAUAUAUAUUUACAUUGAUAUUUUUAGGUAAAAAAAAUUGUUAUUAUUUCUAAUGACUUGCAUGUUGGAUGUAAAGGUUGAAGUGGUGACGGGUGAUAUGAUAUCUAUGUACGUGGGUUUAAUUAGGUGUAUUUAUCAGCUUGUCUUGACAACCUACUUUUAAUUGGUGGAAGGGCUUUUUCGGGCACAAUGAGGAUGACACUAUUAUAGUGCAUGAAAUGGAGAUUUUUUUUUUAUUAUUAUUAUUAUUAAAAUGUAGUUUCUCUUAAAUGAUCAUUUUUGAGUUCUCUUUUCUUCUUUUAUUUCAUAAUGCACCAUGUUUACAUAAAUUUUCCUCUUUUUUUUUUCAUAUUUUAUUUUCAAUCCUACGUGUCUAUCCAUGUGGACUGCUAAGACGGCAUUGGAGUGCGUGACUAUGGCGUUGACCUGUGUGAAUAUUCUCAAUUUGUUUGGUAACAAAACACUUAAAAUAACAAGGGGUGUUUGUGUAAUUUUCUAAGAUCAUGGUUGGAGUCCAUGUGACAAAUAUUUUUUUAGGUAUCCAUGUCAUAAAAUCAUGAUCGAUAGUUAUAAUUUUUUUUUAAAUCUAUAAAAUUAUAGUUACAAAUUAUGAUUUUAAAUUUAAAUUUAAAAUAAUAAUUAGUGACUAUACUUUUAAGGAUAAAUUUAAAAUUAUAUUUAUUAUUUAUCAUAAAGUCCUGUUAUUCUUUCGGCUCCUUUUGUACGUAAUGCCAAAGAUGAUCGACUUUGCUUUUUUAAUAUCAAGACAACCUUUUACAAACAUUACGGCUUUCAGUCAUAAGUGGUUGAAGAUUUUCUUUCAACAUCUUAUAAAAAGAGUAAUUGGUUCCCGAUGUCAUCUCUUGUAAGAUGGGUGGGGUGAUUUUUUUUCUUUUUUAUAUUUUUUUUAAAUAUAAAAAAAUUAAAAUAUUUAAUUUUUUCUAUUCAAUUAAAAAUAAUAUAUUAAGAUUAUCCCACAUAUUUAAGAUUUUAAUAAAUUCAAUUUAGGAUUAUUGAUUAAUAUCAAUAAAUUAUUUCUUAUUAAAUAUAAAAAAAUAAAAUAUUUUAACUUUUCCUAUUCAAUAAAAAAAAUUAAACGUCAAUUUAGUUAUCCUACACAAAUAUUUUAAAAAAUAAUUAAAAUAAAUUAUUUAAUUUAUUAGAUUUUGUAAAAGUUGAUUCCACCGAGGUUGGUGGAUUGUUUUGUUUCCAUGCAACUUUGGAUAUUUUGAAUUCAACUAGCCCUGUUAUGCACCCAGCUAAGAAAAUUUUUAUUUUUUCAUAUCUAGUUUUAUUGAAAAAUAUCAAAUAUAAUUAAAAAUCAUUUAAAAACUUAUAUAUUUUUAAAUUAUUUAAUAUUAAUUAAAUUAAAAUAAAUGAAAUUUUGAAGUAGAAAACAUUAGAUUUAUUUUUUAUUUUUUAUUUUUUUAUUUUUUAUUUAUUUUCUUCCACUUUUACUUAUGUUUUCUUUCUAUUUUGAAUAGAAAUUGGAAUUAAUUUUUAUGCAUAUUUUAAGUAGUCGAAGGAUUUCUAUGAAAAUUUUAGAAGUUGGUCAAUGUCUUAGGAUAGAAAAACUAACCUCAAAUUUUUUAAAUUGGUAUUAUUUUCAUCUAUUUAAAAAUAAUUUGAAAUAUAUUCACUUCUUUAAUGAGUCAUCUAUUUAUUUCCUAUCAUAUUAUCAACAUUGACAAAUGUUUAUCUUUCUUUUGGAUUUAUUAUUAUUAUUAUUAUUAUUUGAAAUUAUGUUUAAAUAGUUUGUGACAUCUUACUUCGGAUAGGAGGAAAAUUCUUGGUACUAUAUAAGUAUGAAUUUCUAUUAAUUCUAUAUACGCGUUUGAAAGCCGUGGGGUCUCUUUGUGCCUAGAGCAAAUAAUAUUUAUACGGGUCAGAUGCAAAUCAUUAUCAAAUGCAUCAAAGUUGAUCCCCCACCCUCAUGGGGCACAAGGGUGUUGUCCUAAUUAAAAUUUUAUAUUAUUAUUGUACAAAAUAUCUUCUUUUGUUUUUCUUGUUGGGUACCCUUUUUCCCCUGAAUUCCUUAUGAUUUUACCAUUUUUGUGAGCCAGCUUAUGAUAUUAUCAUCAUAAUUAGGAUUAAUGAUGAAAAUAUUGAUAAUCACGGAUAUAUUCGAUACUUUGAUUUUAUAGAUAUAUUGAAGGCAUAUCGACGGAUAUUUUAAUACAAAAUAUUGGUGAAGUAAAAAUUAAUAAAAUCCUGAAAAUAUUAAAAAAAUAUUAAAAAAUUAUAUAAGAAGUAAAAAUAGAUAUUUUAAAGUUACUUUUAUUUUAUAUAUAUAUAUAUAUAUAUAUAUAUAUAUAUAUAUAUAUAUAAUUUGUCAUAUUUGAUAAUAAUAUCCUCUACAUGAAUAACAAAUAUAAAUUUUAUAAAUGUACAUUUAUUAUCAAGUUGCAUUAUAUAUUGUUAUAUAAUAUUAGUAUGAUAAUAUGUCUAAUUUUAAAAUAUAUUUAAUAUUAAAAUUAUGGUCCAUUUUAAUUUAAAUGUAUUUAAUGAUAUCAAAUAAAUAAUAAUAUAUAUAUAUAUAUAAUUUUUUAAUAUUUAAUUUUAUUAUAUUUAAUAAAUAUAUAGAUUAUAUAAAAAAGACCUAUUAAAAAACUAUGUUUUUAUAUUUUUGAUAGUAAAUUAAAUUAAAUAUUACAAUAAAAUAAUUAUAAUUUAUUUAUUUAAUAAUAAAAAAAUAAAAAAAUUAUCGAAAAAAUAAUAAAAAAAUUGAUAAAAUAUCAGCAAAAUAUUUGUUAACGGAUGUAUCUUUCCGAAUUUUGUAUUGGUAUUUACAGAUGUUAGAUAUAAUGCUGAUAUAUGGAUGAUAUACCCAAGAUUUUAAUCCAUAUCAUCAAAAGCAUAGGUGGUAGAAAAGCCACCGUCAGUGGUUCUUUCCAUUGAAGAGAAAACCCACCGUCGGCCGUCGUUUAAAAGGCAAUCUCAUCAAGUACAGGGAUCAGUGAAGGACCCACAUUGAGUCAAAAGCUCACUUUGUCUCUGGUCCACUCCGAUUUUCUUUUUGCUUACGCGUCACUUCUGCAGCGCUUCAUAUCAAAAAAAAAAUGCCGAAUGCGUGCGACCCACGCACUUCCACUCCUUUCCUCGGAGAGAUCCGAUUCUGUGAUUCCCUCCAUCUCCAUGCAGACGCCCUUCCUUUUUUAGAGAGAGAAAAUGUGUAUCCCAGCAGGGAAUUAUCAACUAAUUGAGAAAAUGUGUACCCAGUUGGGAAUUAUCAACUAAUUAUUGUGAAAAAGUGGCCGAUACUCAUUUCUAUAUAAACACAAAGUAGAGGAUUGUAUAAAAAGAGCGAGGAGGCCCGACACCCUCCCACUCCGAAGCAGCGGCACUUAGGUUUGUGAAGCUCUCCUUCUUUGCUUUCUUUUUGGGUGUUGAGAAAAUGUGGGAAAAUGAUGGAAGACUUGAAUCCCAAAAUGAUAGAAGACUUGAAUCUUAAUGCAGGUGUUUGGUCUUGGAUCGAGGGUUUUUUUUAUUAUUUUUUAUUUAUUUACAAACCCCAAGACAAGAUUAAAAUGAUUUUUUUUUUUUUCCCUUUUGGUUCCUCUGUUUUCUUAGCAACCAAACAGAGCAAAGGUUUCCAAUGAUGUACAAAUUGAAGUAUACACGCCGUCACUUUUGAUUUGAAGUUUUUUUCAUUCUUUCAUCUGGAUAGGUAGAGAAGGAGGUUGGCCAUAAUGGCUUCCACGCCGGUGCAACCACAGUUCAUUGCAAGCACUGGGAAUAGAAGUUUAUCAAAUGCGCUACUCAUCGAGAAUCCCGAAUCUGAUCAGAUUGUUGUGCCUGAUGUAAGUACGAUUCGAUAUUUUUGUGGAUGUCUUUUGGGCUCUGAGUUUAUCCUAUGGUUUUCGUCUUUGACAAGUCUGUGGUUUUAGAUGAGGCAUAGAAGACUCCGGCGUUGAACUCAGGAUUUGGUUUCCAAAAUGAGACUCUGGCUUUCAUAUGGUGGCAACUUUGAGGAAUUUCUAUGUUUAAUAGCCAAAAAAAAAAUCACUUGUAUGAUUAAUUGAAUAAGAGGGAGAAUCAGGGCAUUUUAACCUAUUUGUUUUCUUUUUAAGAAAACAUACCUGAUUCAAGAUAGUGAGGAAAGUGAAGAAGGUUGCCAAACUUAAGAGUGGGCCCAACAAAAGAUUUAAGUGUAGAUAUUUGAUUAGCACAACAUUGAUCUGUGGUGGAUCCUGACAUGUAGUUUGCAAGAUUAAUGAGUAGCUUAGAUGUUUAUAAUUUACACUGUCAAUGGAUGAUCAACUUCACCAAACAUUUAUUGUUUUUCCAUCUAACUCACUGAAUUAAGUUGUAACUUGUAAGACAAUCUUGAGAGCCAGUAGCCUUCAGAUUUAAACAAGAAAUGCUUUCAAGGUGAUAUAUUUGAGCGCCUACCUGAUUGACAUUAUUUUCUCUUGUCAGUAAUGUAAGGUAUUUGAUGGUUUACUCCAGGCUAUGCUGUCAUAAUACAUGCUGGAACUGAGAUUAGUUACUUUAUGUGAAUACCUUGAUUGAUGGCCUUAAAUGAUUUAUCGUGCAGAGGAAAAGCUGGAAAAACUUAUUUGCAUAUAUGGGUCCUGGGUUUCUUGUGUCUAUUGCAUAUAUUGAUCCUGGAAAUU